rnacentral:rRNA from 1 species
GACGAACGCUGGCGGCGUGCCUCAUACAUGCAAGUAGGGCGGCGUUGCGAACGGGCGAGCAAGGCGUAGGCAACUACCUAUUAGUGGGGGAUAACUAUUGGAAACGAUAGCUAAUACCGCCUACAAGGAGAUGGACCUGCGGUGGAUGAGCUAGUAGGGAGGGUAAUGGCCUACCUAGGUAACGAUACAUAGCCGACGUGCGGGGGUGAACAGCCAAACUGUGACUGGAACACGGGCCAGACUCCUUCGGGAGGCAGCAGUAGGGAAUCUUCGGAAAUGGGGGGAACCCUGACCGAACCACGGCGCGUGAGUGAAGAAGGGUUUCGGAUCGUAAAGCUCUGUUGUUAAGGUAGCGGUACUUAACCAGAAAGGGACGGCUAACUACGUGCCAGCAGCCGCGGUAAUUC